rnacentral:lncRNA from 1 species
UUAGAGGUAAGUAUCAAAUCUGUCCGUUAUUCGCUUAUUUUUAAAAGUCAUGCCAAGCAAAGAAAGAAGGGACAGCGUUACAUACCGUAUAAUCGAGCCGCACGUCCAAUAUUUACUGCUCAAGCUAUUAAUCUAUAACAAGCAACAAUCAUGCCGCAAUUAGAUAAACAUCGUGCUUUACUUUCUUGUAAGCUAGCUAAUAAUCUAACAAAAAUUCGGCAGCACCUCCCCUAUUUUCCUUACUUCGUCCCAAUCCGACAACAAUCCAAAUUAUCCACAGCAAUACCAAUAAGACAUAUAACCCAAAGAAUCAUAUUAAAUAGCCCCCUCCCCAAAACAGUUCCAUCUCGGCAACUAUAUCAGCGAAGCAACGACACACCGAGUGAUAACUCGUUUUAUAAUUCGUAACACAUCUACCUUAUCGUAUUCAUCCUUUGGAGUAUAUACUCAUAAUCACAUUCAACAUAUACAUAAUGCCAAAACAGAAUUUUCCUGCAGUUUGCUUUAAUCAAAACAGCCCAAGCACCAACACGACACCACUAAUAAUCCGAUUAUGGUUUCCAUUCAUACUUAGUACAUUCAAUAACUAAAACAAACUUCCUAAGCUACUGGUCACGCCCCCUUCUUAAAAUUAAUGGAUAAUUAACAAGGGUAUUCUAAAGAAUUAACACACCAAACAAAGAGAUUACUAACCAAAUUAUUUGCAGCUGCUGGCCAAGAGUUGCAGGGUUGGUUUCUCCAAAUCCAUGGCUGCCUAAGACAAGUGGUGAAGAAGAAGAUGAUAUGCAGCAAUGCAUUUCACCACUUUAUAUAGCAUGGAGUGGAUUUCUCCACCUCAUUUAAUAGUAUGAAGUGGAGGCAGCCCCCCUCUACACCUGUCCACUAAGGACAGCCCACAAUCUGAUCCCUUUUUAAUUUUUGCCUUGAGUGGUGGGGCCCAUUGGAUUAAAUUAAUCCAAAUUAGCCACUAAUAAUCCCUCACUUAAAGUUAAUGGCACUUACAUUAGCCAACUCAUACUUAAUAUCACAUUUGGAAAUAACAUCCUUGCCUAAUAUUUCUUUACGUCUUCUAGAUCACGAUGCGCACUACGUAUAUAAAAAAAAUACGAGGCAUAACAGAUUCCUAGCCUCAUCAUCAUUGAUAUGUUGUAUGACAUCAAAAAGGGCUUCUUUUGAGUUAUCAGAAAGAACCCUAAUCUGAGGUUCUUUUCCGCAAGUGCAGAAUGCUUCCGUGCAAGUGCAACCUUUUUCUGAUUGACUAGAAUCUGAAUCAUAGUCCAGGUUGAUGUCCUCCUCUGAGCUGUUUUCUUCAGAUUCAUCUGAAAUGUCAGAAAAUGGUUCAUCAAGGAUAGCGAGAAGUUUACCUUUCGUCUCCUUAUCACUGUCAGGAAGAUUGAUUUUCUUUUUCUUUGUUUUUGAACGGCAUUCGUUUGCUCUAUGGCCUCUUUUUCCACAGUUCCAACAGACGUCUUGUUUCUUUUGGGUUGAUCUCUUGGAUCUAGUUUUCUUUCUUUCGGAUUUGGAAGAUUUAGAGGAAUCAUCCUUCCUUGUUGAUUUUCUUCUGUAGGAUUUUUCUCUUUCUUCCUUCUUCUUAGUAUCCGGUGGAGUAAUAAAUCCAAAAUCUCUACAAAAGCUUCCAAGUUCUUUCCUUGAAGAAGAUUGUUCCUUCUUAAGCUGGUGUCUUAGCUUGAUGUCUGUGCAUAGCUCUAGGGCUACGAUGUUUUGGAAGUUUUGGAAGAAGAUUGUUCCUUCUUCCAAAACUUCCAAAACAUCGUAGCCCUAGAACUAUGCACAGACAUCAAGCUAAGACACCAGCUUAAGAAGGAACAAUCUUCUUCAAGGAAAGAACUUGGAAGCUUUUGUAGAGAUUUUGGAUUUAUUACUCCACCAGAUACUAAGAAGAAGGAAGAAAGAGAAAAAUCCUACAGAAGAAAAUCAACAAGGAAGGAUGAUUCCUCUAAAUCUUCCAAAUCUGAAAGAAAGAAAACUAGAUCCAGGAGAUCAACCCAAAAGAAACAAGAUGUCUGUUGGAAUUGUGGAAAAAGAGGCCAUAGAGCAAACGAAUGUCGUUCAAAAACAAAGAAAAAGAAGAUCAAUCUUCUUGACAUGGAUAAGGAGACGAAAGGUAAACUGCUCGCUAUCCUUGAUGAACCAUUUUCUGACAUUUCAGAUGAAUCUGAAGAAAACAGCUCAGAUGAGGACAUCAACCUGGACUAUGAUUCAGAUUCUAGUUAAUCAGAAAAAAGUUGCACUUGCACGGAAGCAUUCUGCACUUGCGGAAAAGAACCUCAGAUUAGGGUUCUUUCGGAUAACUCAAAAGAAACCCUUUUUGAUGUCAUACAACAUAUCAAUGAUGAUGAGGCUAGGAAUCGUUUCCUCCUAGAACUCAAAAAUUUGAUCCUCAAUACAGACAAACCAAAGUCUCGUCCUAUUGCUGAACCUUUCAGCAUGAAAUAAAUCAUGAAUCGUUCAGAAAAUCAUUCUGAACCAACCAUUGCGGAUCUUCGUCAUGAAGUUUCUCUUCUCAAAAAUGAAAUUCGAGAAAUCAAAUCCCGUCUUUCCAUGAUAGAAACUGACACUCCUAUCCGUCAGAUUUCUAAAAAACUAGCUUUCUUAGAUUAUGAAUCUAGGCACAGCUCCUCAAAAAAAAUUCGGAUAAUGAGGAUGAUAUCAAUCAACCUGACAUCAACAAUAACCAUCUGGUUGAACCAGAAGUUUUUACACAAACCAUUAACAAUGCUUCCACUUCUGCAACACCAGGUUUAACAGUAAUCUCCUCUAUCAGACCUCAGAGCCAUCAUAUCCCUAUCAAAAUAGUGAUUAACAAACAUUUUGUUAUUAACAAAGUUGCUUUGCUUGAUAGCGGUGCUGAUAGAAACUGCAUCAUGAAAGGUAUUGUUCCUCUUCAGUAUUUACAAAAAAGUACUUCAAAAUUAUACUCCGCUACAGGAGAACUUUUGAAAAUAACUUAUAAGCUUUCUAAAGCCCAUAUUUGCAACAAUGGCAUUUGUUUAACAAAUGAUUUUGUUAUUACUGAAGAUAUUAAUGAAGAUAUCAUCCUAGGAAUACCAUUCAUUACUCAAAUAAAACCUUAUUUUACUUCACUGGAUGGCAUCUUCACUAAUAUAUUAGGAAAAGAUCUUCUUUUCCCUUUUGUAAAAACUCUUUCUCAAGAAGAAAGUGAUUUUGUCAGAGAAAAAACUGUUUUCAAAAUAAACAAACUUUCUCAACAUCUCACCUUUUUAAAGGAUGAAAUCCGUAUUAAGAAAAUUGAGCAAACUCUAAAAACCCCGGAGAUUGUUAACAAAAUAGCAAAUCUUCGAGAGAAAUUUGAAAAGGAAAUUUGUUCCAAUUUUCCUAAUGCUUUUUGGAAUAGAAAAAAGCAUAUUGUUUCCUUACCAUACAUUGAAGGAUUCAAUGAAAGGGCUAUUACCACUAAAGCAAGACCCAUUCAGAUGAAUCAUGAAAUGAUGGAAUAUUGCAAAGAAGAGAUUAAUACUCUUUUAAAAAAUGGCAUCAUCAGAGUUUCAAAAUCCCCUUGGAGUUGCUCUGCCUUCUACGUUAAUAAAAACUCUGAGAAAGAAAGAGGUGCUCCUAGACUUGUAAUUAAUUACAAGCCUCUCAACUCCGUUUUAAAAUGGAUUAGGUAUCCUAUACCUAACAAAAGAGACCUUUUGAAAAGGAUUUUUAAUGCAAAAAUUUUUAGCAAAUUUGAUAUGAAAUCGGGAUUUUGGCAAAUACAGAUUUCUGAAAAAGAUAAGUACAAAACUGCUUUUAAUGUUCCAUUUGGCCAAUUUGAAUGGAAUGUAAUGCCUUUUGGGCUCAAAAACGCCCCUUCUGAAUUUCAAAACAUCAUGAAUUCCAUUUUCAAUGAUUAUUCUUACAUGUCAAUUGUUUAUAUUGAUGAUGUGUUAAUAUUUUCUGAAAACAUUGAUUCUCAUUUUAAACACCUCAACACAUUCUUCAAUAUAGUCAAAAACAAUGGCUUAGUAGUUAGUGCUAAGAAAAUGAUUUUGUUUCAAACAAAGAUUAGGUUCUUGGGCCAUGAUCUUUUUCAAGGAACUUUUAAACCCAUCUGUAGAGCCUUAGAGUUCUCUUCUAAAUUUCCCAAUGAAAUUAUUGAAAAAACCCAGCUCCAGAGAUUUCUAGGAAGUUUGAAUUAUGUUGCCGAUUUUAUUACAAAAAUCAAACACAUCUGCGAGCCUCUAUACAAGAGACUUAAGAAAGUCCCUGUUCCAUGGAGUUCUGAACAAACCCAAGCGGUUAUUCGAGUUAAAGAGUUAGUUCAAACAAUUCCUUGUUUAGGGAUCCCCAAUCCUCAUGCUUCCAUGAUUGUUGAAACGGAUGCCUCUGACCUUGGUUAUGGAGGUAUUCUAAAACAAAUGGUAGAUUCUGAAUCUACAGAACAGUUGGUCCGAUUUACUUCGGGAAUCUGGAAUUCUUCUCAAAAGAAUUAUUCUACUGUUAAAAAAGAAGUCUUGUCUAUUGUUCUUUGUAUAACAAAAUUUCAGGAUGAUCUUAUCAACAAAAAGUUUUUGCUAAGAGUAGAUUGCAAGUCUGCUAAAGAAAUCCUUCAAAAAGAUGUUAAAAACAUUGUUUCAAAACAAAUCUUUGCUAGGUGGCAAGCUCUACUAUCUAGCUUUGAUUUUGAUAUUGAUAUCAUCAAAGGAGAAAACAACUCCUUGCCAGAUUUUUUAACCCGUGAAUUUUUGCAGGGAAAACAUGAGGCCAUUUAAGCCAGCAGCUAAGGGCGACAAGGAUCUUCCAAAACAAAAAAUGGCUAGACCAUUCCAGCUCCCUCCACUUACACCAUCCAAAGCAGAAUCUUCAUCCACAAGACCUGCUUUAAACUCCAAAAACUUUUUCACAGUCCUAGCAGAUUAUCCAAAUUUACCAAACUCUUCUCAACAAAAGCCCUAGAGGCCAAACUACCCCCCUCUACCUCAAAGUUUAAAUUUGAGACCAACUGUUGCUCUUGAAGCUUCAUCCUCCCGCCAAACAAAAGCAGCUUACACGAUGAAAGCCCCUGAGACUUUUGCCCAAGCAGUCAAUCUAGAAUUGACUAAAACAAUUUCCUCAAAACUAAAUCAAAAAGAAGAAUUUUUUGACUUUCAGGUGUCACAAAUACUACCUUUGAUGGCACUCAGUAAAGAAGUAUCUAACAUGGAGGUUGAUUUAUUAAUAAAACCUUGUUACACUGAUUUUAAUUAUGUGGAUACAGAGAAAAAACUGUUUUCAAAAUAAACAAACUUUCUCAACAUCUCACCUUUUUAAAGGAUGAAAUCCGUAUUAAGAAAAUUGAGCAAAUUCUAAAAACCCCGGAGAUUGUUAACAAAAUAGCAAAUCUUCGAGAGAAAUUUGAAAAGGAAAUUUGUUCCGAUUUUCCUAAUGCUUUUUUCGAUGAUACUUCCUAUAACUUCAAAUGUAUCAGAAAGUUUUGGGAAUUUUUCUUUGGAAAAUUCAGGUAUUUUAAAUCCUGGGUAGGUUUCAAUUUCAUGAUUGGAUGAAGUAGAAGCCGGUGUUGGUCUUCCACUAAGAUAUGGUCUGUAUCCACAUAAUUAAAAUUAGUGUAACAAGGUUUUAUUAAUAAAUCAACCUCCAUGUUAGAUACUUCUUUACUGAGUGCCAUCAAAGGUAGUAUUUGUGACACCUGAAAGUCAAAAAAUUCUUCUUUUUGAUUUAGUUUUGAGGAAAUUGUUUUAGUCAAUUCUGGAUUGACUGCUUGGGCAAAAGUCUCAGGGGCUUUCAUCGUGUAAGCUGCUUUUGUUUGGCGGGAGGAUGAAGCUUCAAGAGCAACAGUUGGUCUCAAAUUUAAACUUUGAGGUAGAGGGGGGUAGUUUGGCCUCUAGGGCUUUUGUUGAGAAGAGUUUGGUAAAUUUGGAUAAUCUGCUAGGACUGUGAAAAAGUUUUUGGAGUUUAAAGCAGGUCUUGUGGAUGAAGAAUCUGCUUUGGAUGGUGUAAGUGGAGGGAGCUGGAAUGUUCUAGCCAUUUUUUGUUUUGGAAGAUCCUUGUCUCCCUUAGCUGCUGGCUUAAAUGGCCUCAUGUUUUCCCUGCAAAAAUUCACGGGUUAAAAAAUCUGGCAAGGAGUUGUUUUCUCCUUUGAUGAUAUCAAUAUCAAAAUCAAAGCUAGAUAGUAGAGCUUGCCACCUAGCAAAGAUUUGUUUUGAAACAAUGUUUUUAACAUCUUUUUGAAGGAUUUCUUUAGCAGACUUGCAAUCUACUCUUAGCAAAAACUUUUUGUUGAUAAGAUCAUCCUGAAAUUUUGUUUUACAAAGAACAAUAGACAAGACUUCUUUUUUAACAGUAGAAUAAUUCUUUUGAGAAGAAUUCCAGAUUCCCGAAGUAAAUCGGACCAACUGUUCUGUAGAUUCAGGAUCUACCAUUUGUUUUAGAAUACCUCCAUAACCAAGGUCAGAGGCAUCCGUUUCAACAAUCAUGGAAGCAUGAGGAUUGGGGAUCCCUAAACAAGGAAUUGUUUGAACUAACUCUUUAACUCGAAUAACCGCUUGGGUUUGUUCAGACCUCCAUGGAACAGGGACUUUCUUAAGUCUCUUGUAUAGAGGCUCGCAGAUGUGUUUGAUUUUUGGAAUAAAAUCGGCAACAUAAUUCAAACUUCCUAGAAAUCUCUGGAGCUAGGUUUUUUCAAUAAUUUCAUUGGGAAAUUUAGAAGAGAACUCUAAGGCUCUGCAGAUGGGUUUAAAAGUUCCUUGAAAAAGAUCAUGGCCCAAGAACCUAAUCUUUGUUUGAAACAAAAUCAUUUUCUUAGCACUAACUACUAAGCCAUUGUUUUUGACUAUAUUGAAGAAUGUGUUGAGGUGUUUAAAAUGAGAAUCAAUGUUUUCAGAAAAUAUUAAUACAUCAUCAAUAUAAACAAUUGACAUGUAAGAAUAAUCAUUGAAAAUGGAAUUCAUGAUGUUUUGAAAUUCAGAAGGGGCGUUUUUGAGCCCAAAAGGCAUUAACAUUCAUUCAAAUUGGCCAAAUGGAACAUUAAAAGCAGUUUUGUACUUAUCUUUUUCAGAAAUCUGUAUUUGCCAAAAUCCCGAUUUCAUAUCAAAUUUGCUAAAAAAUUUUGCAUUAAAAAUCCUUUUCAAAAGGUCUCUUUUGUUAGGUAUAGGAUACCUAAUCCAUUUUAAAACGGAGUUGAGAGGCUUGUAAUUAAUUACAAGUCUAGGAGCACCUCUUUCUUUCUCAGAGUUUUUAUUAACGUAGAAGGCAGAGCAACUCCAAGGGGAUUUUGAAACUCUGAUGAUGCCAUUUUUUAAAAGAGUAUUAAUCUCUUCUUUGCAAUAUUCCAUCAUUUCAUGAUUCAUCUGAAUGGGUCUUGCUUUAGUGGUAAUAGCCCUUUCAUUGAAUCCUUCAAUGUAUGGUAAGGAAACAAUAUGCUUUUUUCUAUUCCAAAAAGCAUUAGGAAAAUUGGAACAAAUUUCCUUUUCAAAUUUCUCUCGAAGAUUUGCUAUUUUGUUAACAAUCUCCGGGGUUUUUAGAAUUUGCUCAAUUUUCUUAAUACGGAUUUCAUCCUUUAAAAAGGUGAGAUGUUGAGAAAGUUUGUUUAUUAGUAAACAGUUUUUUCUCUGACAAAAUCACUUUCUUCUUGAGAAAGAGUUUUUACAAAAGGGAAAAGAAGAUCUUUUCCUAAUAUAUUAGUGGAGAUGCCAUCCAGUGAAGUAAAAUAAGGUUUUAUUUGAGUAAUGAAUGGUAUUCCUAGGAUGAUAUCUUCAUUAAUAUCUUCAGUAAUAACAAAAUCAUUUGUUAAACAAAUGCCAUUGUUGCAAAUAUGGGCUUUAGAAAGCUUAUAGUUUAUUUUCAAAAGUUCUCUUGUAGCGGAGUAUAAUUUUGAAGUACUUUUUUGUAAAUACUGAAGAGGAACAAUACCUUUCAUGAUGCAGUUUCUAUCAGCACCGCUAUCAAGCAAAACAACUUUGUUAAUAACAAAAUGUUUGUUAAUCACUAUUUUGAUAGGGAUAUGAUGGCUCUGAGGUCUGAUAGAGGAGAUUACUGUUAAACCUGGUGUUGCAGAAGUGGAAGCAUUGUUAUUGGUUUGUGUAAAAACUUCUGGUUCAACCAGAUGGUUAUUGUUGAUGUCAGGUUGAUUGAUAUCAUCCUCAUUAUCCGAAUUGUUUUUUGAGGAGCUGUGCCUAGAUUCAUAAUCUAAGAAAGCUGGUUUUUUAGAAAUCUGACGGAUAGGAGUGUCAGUUUCUAUCAUGGAAAGACGGGAUUUGAUUUCUCGAAUUUCAUUUUUGAGAAGAGAAACUUCAUGACGAAGAUCUGCAAUGGUUGGUUCAGAAUGAUUUUCUGAACGAUUCAUGAUUUGUUUCAUGCUGAAAGGUUCAACAAUAGGACGAGACUGUGGUUUGUCUGUAUUGAGGAUCAAAUUUUUGAGUUCUAGGAGGAAACGAUUCCUAGCCUCAUCAUCAUUGAUAUGUUGUAUGACAUCAAAAAGGGCUUCUUUUGAGUUAUCCGAAAGAACCCUAAUCUGAGGUUCUUUUCCGCAAGUGCAGAAUGCUUCCGUGCAAGUGCAACCUUUUUCUGAUUGACUAAGAUCUGAAUCAUAGUCCAGGUUGAUGUCCUCAUCUGAGCUGUUUUCUUCAGAUUCAUCUGAAAUAUCAGAAAAUGGUUCAUCAAGGAUAGCGAGAAGUUCACCUUUCGUCUCCUUAUCCAUGUCAAGAAGAUUGAUCUUCUUUUUCUUUGUUUUUGAACGGCAUUCGUUUGCUCUAUGGCCUCUUUUUCCACAGUUCCAACAGACGUCUUGUUUCUUUUGGGUUGAUCUCCUGGAUCUAGUUUUCUUUCUUUCAGAUUUGGAAGAUUUAGAGGAAUCAUCCUUCCUGUUGAUUUUCUUCUGUAGGAUUUUUCUCUUUCUUCCUUCUUCUUAGUGUCUGGUGGAGUAAUAAAUCCAAAAUCUGUACAAAAGCUUCCAAGUUCUUUCCUUGAAGAAGAUUGUUCCUUCUUAAGUGGUGUCUUAGCUUGAUGUCUGUGCAUAGUUCCAGGGCUACGAUGUUAAUGGUGCUUACCAGGUCACCAUAGGUAAGAUUCUUUGUCACGACCCAACCCGAUAGGCCGUGAUUAGUGCCCGUUUUGGACACCCACAUACAAACCUGCUAAGUAUGACCAACUGAAACUAAGACAAUAUGGAAUUUAAUCAAAUUAAGCCAACCCCAACGUCAUAUAUAUAUAUAAGAGGACCUGUCUCAUAAGGAGUCAUAACCAUUCAACCAUAACAACAUACGCGAGCCGACAAGGCCGCCACUAUUCAAAGCAUAAUGAUGUACGCAGCCGACAAGGCUGCCCCUGUACAAGCGGACAUCCCAAACAAACCAUGUCCAGACCAUUAUCCAAAACAUAUAUAUACAACCCACAUAAUGUCCACAGACCUCUAAGAGUACAUUAGUGAAACUCGACGGGACAGGGCCCCGCCAUACCCAUAGACGAGCAAAAGAUUACACAAAAGUUAUGUACCAAAACGACUGGGCUCCGGAACAGUGGAGCUCUCCCAAUCAGCAGAGUAGAUAUCCUAGGCGAGAGGAUCACCGAACUGCGCGUCUACACCUGCGGGCAUGAAACGCAGCCCCCCGAGGAAAGGGGGGUCAGUACGGACAAUGUACUGAGUAUGUAAAGCAUAAGGUAAAGAUGACAGGAUACCAAUGUGGCAAGUCGAAACAAAAUAUCGUUACACAUAUACUUUUUAAGUGAAAAUCAUGCAUAUAUUUAACAUUUAAGGUGCCCAGCUUCCCUAGUAAGGGGCUCGGCAAAAUAAUCAUCACGUCAUCUCCGUCAUCAUCAUCAUCAUAACCAUCCUCAUCACCAAUCAUAUAUAUAAUAUACAUACCCGGCCCUCUAGUGAGGAACUCGGUGACAUAUGCAAGAAACUCCGCACGAACAUUACCCGGCCCGAGACUCGGUGAAAUGAUAAAUGACUCUAUGCACGAGCAGAAUAUUAUGAGCAACCAUAUGCAAUUAAAAUCAUUUCUUAUAACUCAAUAGAACAAUCAACGUGAACCAGCAAGGAGUAUUACCAAAGAUUAAUGUUUUAUCAAGAUUAUGAACCUUUAAUACGAUAUGGAAACGUAAAAUUUUAAUGACUCUAAGAAGCAUUACCAUAGAUAUUAGAGAUCAUCAUAGCCUUAGACAUAGCCGAUAUAUAGAGGAAUAAUUGUGGAAGCAAGAAUAUACAUCACCUAGACGCUUUUAGAGGUAAGUAUCAAAUCUGUCCGUUAUUCGCUUAUUUUUAAAAGUCAUGCCAAGCAAAGAAAGAAGGGACAGCGUUACAUACCGUAUAAUUGAGCCGCACGUCCAAUAUUUACUGCUCAGCUAUUAAUCUAUAACAAGCAACAAUUGUGCCGCAAUUAGAUAAACAUCGUGCUUUACUUUCUUGUAAGCUAGCUAAUAAUCUAACGAAAAUUCGGCAGCACCUCCCCUAUUUUCCUUACUUCGUCCCAAUCCGACAACAAUCCAAAUUAUCCACAUCAAUACCAAUAACACAUAUAACCCAAAGAAUCAUAUAAACAGCCCAAGCACCAACAUGACACCACUAAUAAUCCGAUUAUGGUUUCCAUUCAUACUUAGCACAUUCAAUAACUAAAACAAACUUCCUAAGCUACUGGUCACGCCCCCUUCUUAAAAUUAAUGGAUAAUUAACAAGGGUAUUCUAAAGAAUUAACACACCAAACAAGGAGAUUACUAACCAAAUUAUUUGCAGCUGCUGGCCAAGAGUUGCAGGGUUGGUUUCUCCAUUUCCAUGGCUGCCUAAGACAGGUGGUGAAGAAGAAGAUGAUAUGCAGCAAUGAAUUUCACCACUUUAUAUAGCAUGGAGUGGAUUUCUCCACCUCAUUUAAUAGUAUGGAGUGGAGGCAGCCCCCCUCUACACCUGUCCACUAAGGCCAGCCCACAAUCUGAUCCCUUUUUAAUUUUUGCCUUGAGUGGUGGGGCCCAUUGGAUUAAAUCAAUCCAAAUUAGCCACUAAUUAAUCCCUCACUUAAAGUUAAUGGCACUUACAUUAACCAACUCAUACUUAAUAUCACAUUUGGAAAUAACAUCCUUGCCUAAUAUUUCUUUACGUCUUCUAGAUCACGAUGCGCACUACGUAUAAAAAAAAAUACGAGGCAUAACAUUAUUAUAAGGAAUACUACCAUUAUUCCUGUCUUGUAUUUUGGUUCUUACCUUAUCUGCAAAAAGAGGAGGUAAGCCACUGAUGAAACGUUCCUUCCAGUAAUCCAAAUUGCAAUCUGGACGGAUAAUGACUUUGCUCAAAAAAGCAUGUCUGUAGUGGAUGAAGUUGUCUAUGUUUGGGCAACUUAGAUUACUCAGAAUUUGGAGACUUCUGUCCUGAAAUAACUUAGGUUCUCCACUAAAAUGUUUAGCAAUAUGGUAAAGCAAAGUGGCACAAGCGUCUUCCCUUGUUUGAGUAGAAGUUGUUUGUGUGUUACCUUCCAUCUUUACAACAGUUUCAUUUGCUGUUGCGGUGAUAAUGAGAUGCUUGACUUCGUCAGUGCAGUAAUUGUCCCACCAAUGUUUUAACAUUCCAGUGAAACCUGCAAUAAUCAUAUUUGCAGCAUCUGUGUCUGAGGACCCUCGCAUUUUGUAUGCGGUGAUGGCUACUCCCAUUUCAUGGAGUUUAUUGUAAACUUGAUGUUCUACAAGGCCAUCAAUAUUCCAUUCAGUGAUGCUCCUUCCUUCAUGAGAUGAAGUGGAUAAGAAAGCAUUUUCUUCAUACUGCAAAUCUGGAAAAGAUGGUUUGCUGUGGUAGUUUUUCAUGUUAUGAAAACGACUAUUUCCAAGUUUUUGGAGAAGAUUAGUUUUUUCUGAAGAUGGGUUUGGAUUGGUUUGGAUUGUGGAAACACUUUCUUUAUCUUUCUUUUUGGAGAUGUUAAAGUUAUUGAGUUGAGUGUUGAUUUUUUCGAUGAUACUUCCUGUAACUUCAAAUGUAUUAGAAAGUUUUGGGAAUUUUUCUUUGGAAAAUUCAGGUAUUUUAAAUCCUGGGUAGGUUUCAAUUUCAUGAUUGGAUGAAGUAGAAGCCGGUGUUGGUCUUCCACUAUGAUAUGGUCUUGCGUCUUCUAUUUGUCUAGAGAUCACAUGGAGGAGUUGGUUUGUAUAGUUGUUUUGUUCAAUAACUCUAUCAAUAUCUGCAGCAACGAGUAAUGCGCCUGUCUUAUCACUCUUCUCUUUGAAGGGAGAGGCUUUUAUCACUGUACCUGCAAUAGGAAUAUUGAUUCCUUCAAGAGGAGGAGUAGUAGAUUCUAUUACUUUGUUAGAAGAUGUAUACCAUUUAUUAAUGAUAACUUGUAAAGACUCAGUACAAUUUUCAAUUCUACCAGUCAUUUCAAACCACUUGAAGAAUUCGAUUUCACAACCUAUUCUUCUCAUAUCUUUCAUCCAAAUUUCCCUGAAAUUUUCUCUUUGCUUAAGAGUAUAAGAGGAAACAUACCAUUUUCUUCUAACUUGAUUGUCAGGGUGAAUCCAUUGUUCUUGUAGAAUAGUUGGAUUAGGUUCAAAGGGUUUGUUUACCUUUAACAUUCCCAACCAAGUAGGCUUAUCAGUAGGCGGUUCCAUCUCGCUUGCUGUAGGACUCCCUGAAAUGUCUUGGUAGUAAACUUUAGGUACAUUACCUCUGAAAUCAACCCCUGUUACCUUACCUUUACUAUUGUCUAUUUCACUGUUUGCAAUAGUAAUGUUGUCUUCCUCGUCCUCGAAAGUUUUGGAAGAAGAUGGUUGGUGAGUCGUCUUAGAAGGGCACGAAGAGGAGGGUGACCAAGACGAUCGUCGAGCAGAUGAAGAUCUCAUUGAUGGAUUCUCAAGAAAUUUUAGAUCAAUAGAUCCAUCGGGAAACUGGAUAACCAUUUCUAUUUGGGAUCGUGGGGGAUGAGAAGUAAAAGGUUGCGUAAUGUUCUCAAAAUGCCAUUCGUUAUUUGAGAGAAUAUCCUUCCAUUGUAAGGUUCUAGGAACAAAAAUGGAACUAUGUGAGUGGUUAGCUUCCAUGAGCAUGGUUUCUCCUCUGACGCUUUCAAGACACGCUUUUGGAGCAAGUUGAGUUUUCAUAAGUCUAUAAUAGACCCUAUAGACUACAGCAAUUUCUCUAGAAUCAGUUUUGCUAUUGAGAUUUUUGGUUUUGACAUUGAGAGUCAGAGUGUCUGUGACAUUAGGAUCAUUAAUGUCAACCGAGAAAUUAGGAUAACAGUUGAAGUAAACUGGUCCAUCAGUGAGAUUACUUUGAAGUAAUCCAAGAAGGGAAUCAUCAAAAUUAAGAAAUCUGUCAUCUCUAAGGAGAACGCAGACAGGAAUAUCAAGACCUCUUCUGAACAGAGGUUUUACAGCAACUUGAACUAAACCAAUAUGCAAAUAGUUGAAGCUAGAUUUGUACCUGUCUAGAUCUUUGUCUUUAAGAAGACGAACAAUUUCAGAAGAAUUGUUAAUGGCAAUAGUAGAUUCACAAGUUUUAAUAUUGCAACGAGUGAGGAAACUGAAGUUACCUAAUUGAUAAAUCUUUUUGAAAGGUUCUUCUGGAAUACUCCAGUUUUGUAAAUCAUUUUCAAUUUUAGCAAUCUUUGUUGAUUGCGAAGAUAUAUUAAUUUUAUUCAAAAUAUUUUGAUUUUUAUCCAUAAAUGAAGAAGAACUGUCUAAAGGACUUACAAGACAAAAUUUAAGAUAUCAAGUAAACAUAAGUCAAAUAUGUUGGGGUUUAAGUAAUAUUAAUAAAAUAUAAUUCAAAAUCUUUUAUAAAUUAUUCUAUGAUAGGUGCUCUUGGUCUGACAAUCAAGUUCAUUCUGAUAGAGUCAUCUUAGUUACGGGACCACCAAUAGUACUAACUCUUUGACGCCCUCCUGGCUAUAGCGAGUGUUCCAAGUUCAGGCUGACCAACGCAUGCUCCGGAUAUUAAUCGGACACCUCAUACUCAUAUCAGAAGAACGAUACGCCUCACACCAAGUAUAGAAUUAAUAUAAAAGAAUAAGAAGUAUAAAAUAUUAAGCAAAUACUUAAAACAUAACAUAUAGAAUUAUAGAUUACUUCAUAAAUUAAUUUUGUAAUGCCUUAGACAGUAUUUAUAUUUAGCUGCUCAUACUAAAUAUGAAUACUGCCAACAUGGCUUUGAUACCAUAAAGGAUCAUAAGUAAUGCGGAAUUAAAGGAGAAGAAAGCUUACAAAGAAAAUGACUUUUAUUCAAACUUCAAGCAAACUUCAAACUUCAUUGUACAUAGAGAGAGAGAGAUAUUCAGAAUACAGUAUGAAUUUUUUGAUGAGCUCUAAUGGGAAUUCUAAUCCUCCUUUAUAGAAGGGAAAAUAAAUGCCUUUUAUCUCAAGGCUUACAAGUGGAUGGCUGAGAUAUUGCCGACACUGGGGGAGCUAUCAAAAGAUAAUGGGAAUCUUCUCUUUUGAUAAUGCAUCUUCUUUUGAUAAAGGCAAUAGUGCUUUCCAAAAGAGCUUUGUCCUUUAGCCUCUCAGUGGAUGCCAGUUUAGAGAAUAAUGAAAGUUACUAACACAAAAGAUAAUUCCGGCUUUGCCUCUAUCUUUUGUGAAAGGUCAUUUCCUAUUCAUUAGAGAAUAAUGAAAGUUACUAACGUAAAAGAUAAUUCCGGCUUUGCCUCUAUCUUUUGCGAAAGGUCAUUUCCUAUUCAUAAUCUGGGUCCAUGUAGGCCAAGGCUAAACCUUUGGGAUUGCACAUGUCACCAUUAUCGUCAUCUUCUCCUUCAGAAGAAGCAGCAUCCUUGAGUAGUUUGAAGAUCUGUUCCUCAGAAUGAUCUUCGAUGUUGUCCAUAGCUUCCUUCAAUUUUUGUUUGAGGGCUGCUUUGGAUAAUUUCUUUUGAGAAGUCUGGACUUUCUCAGUGUUUUGUACUGCUGAAUUUCCUUGCUGUUUAGGAACCCAACCUUUUACCUGUAUUUGUUUGCACAAAUAAUUGAUGCGAUCUAUUUCGCUUUUGACAAAGUUCCAAGUGAUGAUAUAAGAGAUUCUUUUCUUAAUGUAAUAUUGAGUAUAGUAAGCGAAGUAGUUCUAGUUAAGAAUGAGACUAGAUUACAAAGCAUGUCCUUCAUAUUCCUUAACCAUGUGCAAAGCAUGCCCUUCAUAUUCCUUGACCAUGUGACUACAUGGGAUGUGUCUAAGUUCUACCAUUGGCAAGUAGAACACCCUUAAUGGAGUAGGUUAGAACUCCGGAUUCAAUGUCUAGCUAUCAUGGUCUAUGUUGGUUAUUGCCUCUUAUCAUCAUGUGGGAUACAUAAUAGCAUUAGAUAAGUUGUAUAAAGUUUAGGUUGUCGUAUGGGACACUAUCUAGACAUUGCACCACAGACUUUUAAGGUGUUAGUUGGAGUCCCUAUGUCUUGUCCAAGACCAAUACUUGAAUGUCCUUUACGUGAUGUGUGAGUCUCUAAAUGAACAAACGAACUAAUGAGUUAUGUUAUGAAGUAUGUAGAUCGAAUAAGUACUAAUCUAUAGUAGUUAAGGGUUUUCUUGGUAAGGUAUGAAGGGUGCAUAGGAAUGGUCACAUUGUAUCUUACUUAGAUGAGUCUUAAGAAUGAAUCUAGUUAAGGAAGAUGUUGAUUAUGUGGACAUUAUUCGAGCUUAGGAAGUCUUAAGGAUUAAUUAGGUAGUCUUGAGAGGUCAAUCAUGGAUGUUAUCUUCUUGAUCUAUGUAAGUAAGUCUUCUGAUAGUCUUUGAUGAGGAAAUGUCAUAUUAUCUAUAUGUUGAUACACUUGAUGAGAAUGACUCUAUCAUAAGUAGUUUAUAGGAUCUGUUGACUGUGUUUUUAAGGGAUUGGAUGGGCGGCCGCUUCACAACUCGCUCAAGUGAGACUUAGAGUCCUCUUUGGUAGAAGAGUCUCACAUUAAUGUUUAUGAUGUAUUGUAAAAGAGUAUGUAUCUCAUUAUAAGUAGUCUUGAGGGUCAUUUAGGUAUGCCUAGAGAGGUUGUAUGAACGGUCUCUCUUGGUGUUACUUAAGUGAGUGUUAGGAUAGCUUUAAGUGGGAAACUACAUACUAGAAGAUGUCAAGGGGGAUGACGAGCAAGUGCACUGUACAGUGAAGGAACUUCACCAUAACAGUGAUUUGAGUUACAAGAAAUUGUCUUAUAAAAAAUGUGAUAUUUUGCGUAAAUGUUAUCCUAUGUGAUUUUAAGUUGUUAAAUGUUGUUCUUAUGAUUAUAAUAUGAUUUUAAAUGAAAAUAUGCAUAUUUCUACUAAAUGUUCAUUUUCAUGAUUUUUAUGCAUUAUGCCAUACUUAGUUCAUGUGGUUAUACUAAUCCAUGAUUUUAUUUAUCUCUAUAGUUCUAGGUAGGUGAGGAGCUUUUGGGAAGUGAAGACUUGGAUCGUAACAUCGUUCAAGAGAGGUUGAAGUAUGUCCUUAUUUAACUUGAGGGAAUAUAUGUCUUUUAUGUUUUCUAUUUGAAGUAUUGUAAUAGACUAAGUAUUUCUAUACUAUUAAUGAAGUAUGGGUCAUGCCCCAAGCAUUAUUGUGUCUUAACAUGAUUAGAUUGACACUUAGUAUUUUCUCUUGCUUUACAUGAAAGUGUUUUUAAAGACUAUGAAGUAUGUUUUGUGAAAAUUUUUAAUUCCACACUAAUUUUUACUAUGUUUAUGCAAUGAAUGAUAUGUAACUCCAAGAGGUCAAGUACACCGGUUGCAAUCCGAGAUUGCCCCUAACUUCUAGUUUGUGGUUUUGGGAUGUGACAAGCUUUGUAUCAGAGCAUAGGUUGUGAAUGUAGUAUUUGGACGAAAUGUCUCAUCAAGUCAUGUUUAGUAGAGUGUUGACCAUCUUUGUGAGUCGCGACACAUCUAUAGGCGAUAGGCUAUAGGACAAUAGAGUUUCCCUUCUUUUCUACUCCUAUGUCAUGGCGUAGAGUAAAUUUUAUGAGUAUUCUUUUAUUAUGGUUUUCCUUGUGUUUCUAGGAAGGUGAAUACGAGGAGUACACCGGAUAGAAGAGUUGGAGAGAAUUAGGUGUAAGAGCAGAUCCCUCCUCAAAUUGAGGAAGUUGAGCAAGUUCCUCAAGGUUCUAAUGGUGCUCAAGGUUCUUAAGGUGAUCAAGUCCCUAAUGUGGAAUGAGGUAAUGAGGUUCCAGAGGUUCAUCCGGAGUUGACUAAUAGGUAGAUUAGAGAGGCUUUGGUUGCUUUAUCCCAAGUCGUCACUACUCAAAUAGAUUUGAGUAUGAUUCCUAGGGUAAAUGUUGUAAAGAGGACUAUGACGUAUAAGUUAAGAGAUUUUGUGAGGAUGAAUCCUCCUACCAUUCUUGUCUCUAAGGUGGGAAAGGAUACCAAGAGUUUCUUGAUGGAGUAUACAAGGUGUUGAGAGCUAUGUUGGUUACAUCUAGGGAGAUAGCGGAGUUUGCCUCAUAUAAAUUGAGGGAUAUUUCUUAAAUAUGGUACAAUCAAUGGAAGGAUAAUAGGCCAGAGGUAUCUGGUCCUAUUGAGUGGGAGGAAUUUAAAGAAGCUUUUCUGGGUUAGUACUUUCCCCGUGAGAAGAUGGAAGUUAAGGUGGAGGAGUUUAUAAAUCUGAAACAAGGAAUUAUGAGUGUUGAGGAAUACUCUUUGAAGUUCUCAAUGUUAUCUAGAUAUUCCCCUUCUCUUGUGUCUAACCCAAGGUAUGAAAUGAGUUGCUUCGUGACCACAUUCGCAGACUUAGGUAGGGAAGAAUGUUGUACGGCGGUGCUACAUGAUUAUAUGAUUGUAUCUAGACUCAUUGUAUACGCACAAUCAAUUGAAGACUACAAACUUAGGAGGAUGUCUAGAAGUUCGAAAAGGAGUAGUACUAGUGAUAAAGGGCAACCUAGGUUUAAGAAGAGGGCACAAGUUCAUGAAGAACCUAACAGUGUUAAGGUUUAAUUGGAGAGAGGAGGUGCUUCUCAUAAUGUCAAGCUUACAUGUGUCACUUGUGGAAAGAAACAUUAUGUUGAGUGUCUAUUGGGUACCGGGAGUAGCUAUGGUUGUGCUAAGGAAGGAUAUAAAGUGAUAGAUUUUCCUAUGAUUAAUACUAGAGGAAGAGAGAGUAUGCAGGUUACUCCUAGUGUUCCAAAGGAUGAUGCUCCAACAAAGAGGCCUUUCUAUGCAUUCCAAACUAGAGGAUCAAAUACGGAUGAAAAUGGUGAUGAUGAUGAGGGUAAGUCCUUGCAUUUAUUUUUAGAAAUAUGAGUUCCUUCUAAGUGGGGGAGUAUGGUUAGAAGAUGGCAUAGAAUGAUAUAGAAGUAUGUUGUAUGUGCAUUGUGUUUAGAAGUUUUUUUAAAUUCAAUUCUAUUAGCUUCUUGCAUCAUGUGUUUUAUGAAGUUAUGAUCAUGUGGUAACAUGUUUUUAUAUGAUGUUACUUUACGCAUUAGAACGUUUGUAUCAUGAAUUGACUAAAAUAUAGAUUUUUGAAUUUUUUUUGAUGAAUUCACUAUAAGGGUGUUGGUAGCUCAUUGUAAUAUUUUUAAGAAAUUGUCUAAUUGAUUCUUUGGUCUAAAAUUGUUGCAAGGUGGUUAGAACUAAUGUAUAUGAUUAUGAUAUUGAAUAUAAAAUGACUUUUCGUUAUUUAGAAUGAAGCAUGUGAGUUUUGAAGCAUGAUGAGUUAUAGAAUUGUCUUCUAGUUCUUAAUCUGUUGUGAAUCUCUUGACUAUGUGAAAUUAAUGUUUUCUUCUUUGUGUUGAAUAGUAUGUUUAUAAGCUACUAGUUAAAUAUCUAUUCUUGGAAGUGUUCAGAGAGUGGUAAGCGUCAUUCGAGGACGAAUGGUGUCCGAGUGGGGGAGAUUGUAAGACCCUGAAAAUAACUUAGGUGAACUAGAUCCUAACAUUCUAAUGUGGAAAGGUUUUCCUUGAAACGACCUUGUGUGUCUAAGCAUGUUUCGUUGAGUUUUACGUGUUAGUUUUGGAAGAAAUUAAUUUGAGAGGUGAUAAAAUCAUAUACAAUCAUGUUUGGGUUGGAAAUGUCUGGUCAAACAUCCCUAAGGACCAACCAAGGGCCCUUGAGGGAGGACCCAUACUUGGAGUAAAGACUGUACCAGGCAUCCCCAAACCACGGAGGCAUCAACGACUCGUGGGCCUAUCGACACCCCCGCCGAUUGGUGUUGUUGGUAGGGAUAUAGACUUGGAAGGGAGGAGAACCAUGUAAAGCCUCUUAACUGACGAAGGAAGGACAUGAUGGUGUGCUUGUGGAAAAAUGGUUCGUCGACUACCCAACCAUCGAUGGCCUAUUUUCCUCUACAGCCUCACUGUUAUAAUAUCACCCCACUUCCAAAUAGAAUUUUUUAGUUUGUUAGGGAGUAUUUUGGGUAUUAUAAACAUGUAUAUUAGUGUUUACACUUAGAAGAUUUAAUUCCUCUAAAUCAAAAUCCCAAAAUCUCUUAGAAUUCUCUGUAGGACUCCAUUGAAGUCCAAACUCAAGAAAGGGAUUAAGGUGACGAACUGAGUGGUGAUUCUUCAUUAAAGUGAAGAAAAGCUUCAUCAAGGUAUGUAUUUUGAUCCUUGAAACCCUCUUCAUCAAGAAGCCCCAAUACUCAAGAUGUUUUCUAAAGUUUUCAAGUUGAACUGUCUCAUUUCAUGAAGCUUUUUAAUGAUGUACGAAUUGUGUUCAAUUGAUAUCUAGGUUGUAUUAUAUUGAUGAAUCUCAAUUGAAUUGACCUAGUUUCAUUGAUUUUCAUAGUUUCUAUAUGGAAUUAUUGUUCAUGGCCACAUAUAAGAGCCUUAUGGUGUUGAAUUGGUUGAUUUGCUAUCAACUUGAGGUUUUGAGGAUGGAGUGGUGGUAUGCUGCCCUAUUACCUUUAUUUUGAUGUCGUUUAUACUUCAAUUAUGUUUUUAUUGGUAUGGUACACUUAUGGGGGCGGGGUAGUGUUCUUUACUUACAAUUGAUGUGGCCUUGUCGGCAUUACUUUAUGCAAUAUGACAAUCAUGGCCUUGUCGGCACUACUUCAAGCAAUGUUUAUAUUUGUGUAUUUGAUUAUGUGAAUUAUGAUGAUAUAUAUCUACAUUUUAAGCAAUGUCAAAAUAUAUAUGUUCUAAUGAUGUUAUGUAGGUAAUCAUGUUAGACUAUGACUUUGACCUUUUAUGUAAAGUCUUACGGUUGAAUCUUGUUUAUUCCUACUUUACUAUAUAUGUCUAUGCUUGUCACAUUGAUGAUGAUAUGAUAAUGUAUAGGAUGACUUGAAGAUGAUAUAGUUUUAUUUAUGUGUUUGAAUGGCAUAUAUUAUGAGUUAAAGUGAAGUAUGUGGUGUCUUGUCUUGGUUGACUUGUGUCCCUUACUUGAUGUAUAUAUUAUUAUGGAUAUGUGAUGUCUUGACUUAGGAUUUUAAAGAUCUUAGGUUUGAAUGAAGGAAUUACAUCUGACCUUAAAUGAAGUUAAGAGGGUCUUUUAUGUGAAAACUUAAACUUAGUGGUAAGUUUAUGAAUGUUGAAGUCAUAAGCCGAAAUGUUAUUCUUCAAAGUAAAGGAAUGAUAGACUUAAGGUUAAUUAAUUGACUGGAAUGACAACAUAUUAAUUCUUAGAAAAGUCAUCAUGAGAUUCUAGUAGACAUUGAAAGGUAGCCUAAGGAGGACCUCUUUGUUACGGUAAAUGUAAUAGGAUUAUAAACUUUUUAUGGAAUCCUUUUAUGUGAACCUUAAGUGUAAAUUACUAUAUGAGAACGAAGGCUAGCACUGAGUGAGUAUGGUAAGGGAAGUAAUUCUAGUUAAGAAUGCGACUAGAUUACAAAGCAUGUCACUCAUAUUCCUUAACCAAGUGCCUACAUGGGAUGUGUCUAAGUUCUACCAUUAGAAAGUAGAACACCCUCAAUGGAUUAGGUUAUAACUCCGUAUUCCAUGUCUAUCUAUCAUGAUCUAUGUCGGUUAUUUCAUGUUCUCAUCAUCUAGGAUAACUUACUAGCAUCAGAGAAGUUCUAUGAAGUUUAGGUAGUAUAAGACGCUAUCUAGACAUUGCACAAUAGACUUUGAAGGUGAUAGUUGGAGUCCCUAGGUCAUGUUCAAGACCAUUACUUGAAUGUCCUUUAUGUAAUGUAUAAAACUCUUAAUGAACGAAUAAACUAAUUACCUAUGUUAUGAAGCAUAUAGAUGGAAUAAGUCUUUAUCUAGAGUAGUUGGUUUUCUAUUUAAGGUGUGAAGGCGGAAUAGGAAUGGUCCGAUCUUAAGAAGUCUUAAGGAUUAGUUAGGUAGUCUUGAAGAGGUCAAUCAUGGACGUUAUCUACUUGAUCUACUUAAGUAAGUCUUUUGAUAGCCAUUGAUAAAGAAAUAUCAUAUUAUAUAUAUGUUGAUACACUUGGUUAGAAUGAUUCCACCCUAGGUAGUCCAUAGGAUAUCUUAAGCAUGUGUAUAAGGGAUUAUAUGUGCGGUCGUUUCACAAAUAAGUCAAAUGAGACUUAGAGUCACCUUUGGUAAAAGAGUCUUGCAUUAAUGUUUAUGAUGUCUUCUAAGAGUGUAUGUGACAAAUCAUAAGUAGUCUUAAGGGUCAUUUAGGUAUGCCUAGAGAGGUUGUAUAUGUGGUCUCUCUUGGUGUUACAUAAGUGAGUCUUAGGAUAGCUUUAAGUGGGAAAAUUACAUAUUAGAAGAUGUGAAGGCGGAAGACGAGCAACUUCACUGUACAAUGAAGGGACUUCACUGUAACAGUGAUUCGAGUUACUGGAAAGUGACUUAUAAAAAUGUGAUCUUUGGCUUAAAUGUUAUCUUAUGUGUUUCUAUUUUGUUAAAUGUUUUUCUUAUAAUUAUAAUAUCAUUUUUAAAUGAAAAGAUGCAUAUUUCUGCUAAAUGUAUAUUUUUAUUAUUUUUAUCUGUUAUGCCAUACUUAGUACAUGUAGUUAUACUAAUCCAUGCUUUUAUCUUUCUCUAUAGUAGUUGGUAGGUGAGGAGCUUUUGCGAAGUGAAGACUUAGAUCGUAGGAUCGUUCAAGAGAAGUUUAAGUAUGUCCUAAUUUAACUUGAGGGCAUAUAUGUUUUUUAUUUGAAGUACUGUAAUAGACUGACUAUAUCUAUACUAGAUUUGAAGUAUAGGCCGUGUCCAAAGUAUUCUUGUGUUUUAAGAUGAUGACAUUGAGACUUAGUAUUUUCUCUUGCUUUAUAUGAAGGAGUUUUAAGACUAUGAAGUAUGUUUGUGAAAAGUUUUAAUUCCGCACUACUAUUCACUAUGUUUAUGCGAUGAAUGAUAUGUAUGGUCUUGUACAAGACCUCCUAGAGGUUAAGUACGCCGGUUGCAAUCCAAUAUUUCUUCUAACUUGGAGGAUGUCAUUUCUGGAUGUGAAAUUCAAGAACCCUUGAAGAACUUUAAGGUUGUUGGUUUAGUCUUUAAGAUAAAAGAGAGAGAGAGAGAGAGAGAGAGCUAGAAUUAAUUCUCAUUUUUAUGUAUAAAAUGGGUGAAAUGAUCAUCUCAUAUUGGAUUUAUAUGGAUCUUUAUUAACCACAAAAAUAUCCUCUAGAACCUCCUCAUUUUUUGUCAAUUUUUAGCCACUAAUUGGUCAAGUAGGUGAUGCACCUUCUUAUUUACAUCAGGUAUAUCAAAAGGUGAAACUAGAUGAAGCACCUACUUGCUUUCACUUGGGCUUUACCUAUAUACAUAUAGCUCAAGUAGGUGAUGCAGCUGCUAGCAUAAUCAAGCCAAGGAAUAAAGUCAAGUAUUUUACUCCGUUUUCUUAAUAUUAUUAGUUUUUCCUUCAACUUAGAACUUAACUUCAACUUUAAGCUCAAUUACUACCUUAAUGUAUCUAGUUUAAAUAAUUAUGUUGGAGUUAACUUACAGUACAAAAGUUGAAACGUUGAAGGCAUCACAUCACUUCCCGAGAUAGUUUAAGCCAAUACUAAUCAUAUAAGGAAUAUGGUCCCUCACGUAUACUAUAAGUCCAGUAUAACAAGAAUAGAACAAUAUUAUCCGUAAUACGGGCUGGUACAAAAAAAUCAUGUUGAGCUCAUAUUUGGAUGGAGAAGGUAGUUCCUCCUUAUGUUAUAUGAAAUGAUGAGCUCUUAUGUGUUAUGAAUUGUUGGUUAGUUCCAGUGUUUUUAUCCUAUGAUUAUGUGUUGAAAGGAGUUGAGGGUUCCUACAUGAGCUAUGACUCAUUAUGAUAUUGCUUGUCAUUGGGAUUCUAAUCUUGAUUCUUCCUUCCUAUUCCCUUGAACAGUUUAAGGUUUCACUUGGGGAUGAAUGUUCCUAAGACGAGGAUAUUGUAACACACCAAAAAUUCUAUGACCUAGCUUAGAGCCUCACAACAAGAUUUAUGACGAUUCUAGACCUAAAUAAGUCUAAAUAACUUCAUUGAGAAAUCUUAGAGCCAAAACACUAAGAAAUGACCAUAAUGUCCAGUAAAGUAGUAACCUAAACUAGGGUGGUGCUAGAGGUGUAAGAGUUGUUCAAAAAGGGAUUUUAAGGGUUUAAACUUGUGGAGGUUAUGGAUAGGGUAUAAGAAAUAAUAAAGGGUCUAAGAGUCAAGGCGAAGGGAGGAGUGCCCACGCUUUAGGGGCAAGACAAGUCGAAAGGCUCAGACUGCCCCCAAAGGGAGGCUAUAGCCUCAACCUUCAGGAGCAUGACCAGGGCUCAUGGUCAUGACAACGGCCAAGUGGGGAGCUCGUGAAAAUGCCUUGCUGAUGGAUGAGGAAUGCCACCUUGUACUAGCUACUAUCCAAGGCACCAUGAGUCACUUCAAGACGCGUGGUGCACUUGAAGGAAGGAUUUGGUUGCCCAUGGUAUUGCCUUAAAAGUUUUGAAAAUGCGUGGUUUUGAGGAAGAUACUGACCAAAGAACCACGAGCCACCUGACGGGCCGUAGUGCAUGUUCACGAAAAGAGGGAGGGACUCGUGAAGUGUAUAUAGAAAAUAUUUUAGGUGUCACAUUGAGGGAGCUACUUCCACAAACUCUAAAACCAACCACCAUGAGUCAUUAAGCACUUCACGGCUCGUGAAGUGGGGCGUGAAAUUGCACGGGGUUUUCAACUUGAGGUCAUGUUGGACUAUGAUUUUAAAAGUCCAACAUAAUCAUGGGUAGUUUGGGUAUUUUGGGGGUUGACUAUUUAAUGGUUUUAGGUAAAUUAUAACCCCAUUCCAACUUCUAAAUUCAAACACAAAUUGAGACCCAAUUUCUCCCAUCUCUCUAUACAUUCUCUCUCAACCCCCAACCUCCAUUGAAGAAACCUUGAAGCUUGAAGAAGAAUACCUAAUACCUUAAUGUUCGACUAAAAUUCUUGACUAUUUAUAUGUAAGAUAUGGUUUAUUUUAUUCUUGGGAUUCCUUUCCCUAAGAGGUCCCUCCAAAAGAUGAUUUCUAAAUUCCCCAAAAACUAGGGUUUUCCUCCCUACAUAGUUCUUCUUUGAAAAUGAAAUUACGAAUUAGUUGUGAUGAAUUAUGAUAAAUUUAUGUAUUUUAAGUAUAUAUUGGUGGUUAAUUGAUUAUUUCAAAUUAUUUCUUCUUGGACCCAUGUCUUUCACCAAUUUUCCCCAAAUCUUUUAUUUUGUAAGGUGAAGUUGAAGGGGACGAACAUGAUAAUGGUUUACUUUGAUGUUAACUAUGAAAUUACUUCAUGAAUUACCUUUUUUUAUGCAUUGGUUAUAAAUUAUUUGGUGAUUGAAGUGUGAAGUCCCAUGAAGGGAAAGAAGGUAUGAUUGUUGACUCAUUCUUAGAUAGUGAUGAUUCUAUGUCUAAUGUGUUGUUGUGAUGUUUACGAAAAGUAUUAUGUUAUAUAUGUUGAUUAUAUGAUUGAAAGUAGUUUUCAUGAUUAUAAAAAAUUAAGUGAAAGGUUUACUCACUUGUUUAUGGUUCCUAAAGUGAAAGGUGUAACACUCCGAAAGUACAUGACCUAAGAUAGAUACUCACAUGAUUAAAUAAACAUUAAAACACUGUUUCUAAGCCUAAAUGAUGUUUAUAAACUAUUUAGGAUGUUUUAGACUCAAGGUGUCAGGAAACGUCCAUGACGUCCGGAAGCUAGUAUAUUGAAUUACUAAGAUGACCUUAGGUUUUGUGAAGGUUUGGAUGUGUCAUAUGAAGUCUAAAACUUGUAUAAAUACUUUUAAUAGGUAAAAAAAUGUAUAUAGGGUAAAAAAUUCUAGAUCCGACCCCCCAAGGAUAGCCCUAGGGGUCCACGAAAGGACCCAAAACUUAGCCAAGCAAGCUGCCAAAGUACCAAUCAAAUUGAACUUGGCUGAAAAACGUCUGCAUUGCGGACUUGGUCCUCUGGAAAAAUAAUCAAUUCUGCAUCGUGGGCACAUCGCUGGACUAUUCUGUCUCAAUAAUUAAUCUAGAAAAAUCUUGCGGAAGAUGCUCCGCAUCGCGGACUUAUUCCCCAACAAAAAUCUGAAUUUUAGAAUUAAAGUUUGACUUCAUUGAAGAUCAACUUAUGUGAGGGUUAUUUUAGGUAUUUCAUGGGGGCCUACUUAUUUUAAGUCAGUUUUCCUUCAAAUUUACUCACUCAAAUUAAAUCCCCAAAUUAAAACCAAAAAGCUCUCACCUCUCUCUACUUUCACUCUUUAUUCAACCUCCAUUAAAGAAAUAAGAAAGCUUGAAGAAUAAGAAAAAUUUCCUUAGUAUUUCACUUGAAUUUUGUGGAUUAAGCUUCAUUAAGGUAUGGGUUCUUCACUCUUGGGAUAAAUUUUCUCAAGAAGUACUUUCAAAGUUGAUUUCUAAAUCACCCAAUUCUUAGGGUUUUAUUCUAUAAAUGGGUUUUCUUCUAAAGUUAAAAUUGAUGAUUGAUUAUGUAUAAUUGUGCUAACCCAUGACCAAAAAAGUGUAGAAUGUUUAGUAAUUGAUGUUAAUUUAUGGGGAUUUCGAUCGAUUUAUGUCUUUACCCCUAAUUUCCCCAAAUCUUGGAUCUUGCUUAUAUUUUUAUGUGAAUUGAUUAGUGUAUUCAUUGUUAGACUUGUUUUAUCUAUUCUAAUUCGUUCAGGUUAAUGUAUUGUUGUGAUUCGAUCUAUUUCUUCAAGAAUCCAUGAUGAACCUCUUCCCCCUAACCCUAGGUUAUAAAUUGAAGUUAACUUGAAUACUGAUGAUGCAAUUGACCUAGUUAUUGUGUUAUUUACUAUUGAAUGUUGUUCUUACACCUAUUAUUGAAUGGGAUUUGUUUGUUUAUGGUAAGACCAUGAUGAUGGAUUUUGAAGGAGAUUGGGUAAGUAAUUGUUAUCGUAAAUCUUUACUUUAAUUAUGAUAGCUUGUACUUGGUGAUGAAUUUCAAUUGAAGUAUGUCUUGUAAUUGGAUAAAGUAGGUGUGGUAUGAUGAUACAAUUGAAAUGUAUUGAUAAUGAGACUUUGAGAUUAUGCUUAUGAUGUAAUCAUAAAAGUUUGAUUAUGAAGUACCUCUGUGCCUUACUAUGAUAUAAUGAUGUUAAUGUGCUAACCUUACACAUGAAGGUUUAUUGAAAGGUGUUCUCAUGCAAUUCCUAUUGAGAUAAUUAAUAUGACAAUACUAGGAGUUAUUCUCCUAUGACCUAAACUUAGUUAUGAUCAUUAAAGUAAGACAUUUUGAAAAGGGACUCUAGCUUAGCAUCGAGUGAAGUAGUAAUGAGGAGUGUCCCUUCCCAAGUAAGGAAGAUAGGUUCACUAUUGUACUCAUGAGAUUGGAAACUAUAAUUUCAAAGGUAUAAAGAGGGUCCCAAGUAUAUCUCCUAGUUAUUGAACUAUGUUGCCUCCAUAUGAAUACUAGUUGAUCUAUUAACCUACACACUAUGGUCAUGUUUUGUACUGUUUUGGAAAGUAUUCUACCUUCUUUUUGGUGUAGGGUUUCAUUACACCGGAUUCCAGAUUAGCUCAUGUGGUCUAAUGUUGGUUAAGACAAGAUUUUCCCGAAUGUAAAAUUAAGUAAUAGAUUGAACUCUAACUAGGAGGACUUAAUGGGUUUGACAUAGUCUAGGUAAGGCUAUGGGACUCUACGUAUACGUUGCACUAGUUGGCCUUGAAGGAAGUCCUAGGAGGAUAUCCUUAGGCUCUUAUGCACAUAUGAGAUGAAUGACAUGCUUAUGUUGAUUCUUAUGUUAAUGGUCUAUAUUUCUUAAUAAUGUGUAAGAACACUUGUGAUACUAUGCAUUUGAAGUUAGACAUUAUUUAUGAUCCUUUGGUUUGUUUACUUGGUUGAGUGGGGUUAUGAGGCUUCACCUGAUCAUUGAACUAGUAAUCUUGGUAAGGAGUUAUGAGUAAGGGUUUUACUUAUGUUAUAAUGUUAUGAACUCUUGAACAUGAUAUAUUGUUAUAAGAUGAUGUUAGGGUUGCUUUGUCUAUGGUUCUAAUAUGAUAUACACAUGUUGACUUGGUUAUACUUGAUGAUGUUGGUCGUGUGUUGAUAUGUUAUGUUCUUAAUGAGUAUAUGAUUAUUGACUUAUAUGUGUUCUUGAUUGUGCAUAAGGGUUUUCAAACUAACUUGGCAUUGUUUUGGACAAAAGUCCGUUUUAGCAUGAUUUCUAUAUAAUGUGUGCAUAUGUUUCCAUAGUUAGUACAAGUGAUGUGCCCCUAUUUCUCCCUUUUUCCCAAACAUUUUUGUGUUUUGAUCGUUUAAGGGUUCGUGACCAAUUUACAUGUAAGGCUUGGAUCGUUUCUCCAAGUGUGGGUAUGUCCUCAAGAUCCGAAGAUGAUGCCUUUCUCAUUCUACCUAAGUCAGUUGCGAGUCUAACAACGUUCGUGUCACACUUAUUUUUCAAGACAUUUUGGUAAUCCCUAAGUGUCAAUUAUACAUUUCUAUAAGAGCUAUGACCGAUUUGUUCUACUCCGACAUAAAUUGUUUUAUAUGAGACAUCUCUAUUAGACACUAUAUUGUUUAUAUGACAUAAAAGUGGAAGCCUACGUAAGAUUCACAUGUGAGGAGUCUAUGUCAACUCCCUAUGUAUACACUACGUGUAAGUGAGAGGUCAUGUAAACCUCAUAAUGUAGAUGUAUAUGAAAAGUUUUAAAUUUUAUGCACUUCAUAACCUAUGAUAUGUAAUGACGAUUUCUAGGAGGCUAGUCUUAGUCCUCUCCAGGGACGACAAGUCGGUUAUGUCUAUGGUGCUCCUCAUGAUGUGUUAAAAGGAUUGUUCUCACAUAUGGUAUCCUAAGAUCUAUUAUGAUAGGAGGUUUACAUAAGGUCUUAGUAAAGGCUAAUGUGAACUAUGUGUUGACUAAAGAUGGUUACUAAAUAGAAUAGAUGCUUAGCACCGAAAGGGCAUAUAAAUGAGAUGGAGUUCUCACAUUUUGCAAGUCCAUCUCCCUACAUGGUUUCCUCAUGUUCAGUAAGUCUGAAUCCCCAAUAUAUGUAUUGUCUCAUGAGAUUGAAACCUCACGUUUAGCAAGUAAGGAUUUCUAUUAACAAUCUACUUGACCCUUAACUAUGUCCACACAUAGUAAUUUAGCUUUGUGGAUCCACCUAGACAAUUAUGUACGAAAGGAUACACCUUAAGAAAGUGUUAACUGUCUCUUUUCAAUAUGUAUCUCUCAUGGUCUCAUGUCAAUUAUUGCAACUUUUUUCCCUAAUGAAAAAGCAAAUGAAUUAAAAAGAUGUGUGAACUCUUAUUAGAUCUUUUUUAAGGGUUUCUAAAUGGUAUGAGGAAGGGUAUUGGAGUUCUCUUAUACAUUGCACUUGUGGGAUACUGAGGGAUGAUUCUAGUAGUGUUCAUUUAUGAUUAUGUUGGUUAUGACUAUGUUGGUAUGUUCUGAGUAAUCUUUAUGAAAAAAACAUGUCAUGAUGUAAUGUGAUAAUAUGCUAUAUGCAUGAAAUGGGUUUCUUAUUGUGAUACUUAGCUUUUAAUAGGGUUAUGGGAUUAUAUUCUUUGCAUUGCACAUGUUUUGCUUGAGUUGCUUACAUGUUGGGUUGAUAUUAUCUUGGGUUUGGCUUAUGAUAUUGCUAUAUGUGCACGUUGAGAUUAUUUAAUACUAAGCAUUGUUGUGACUAAAAUGUUCCUUUACUCGUGCAUUAAUGAUUUUUAUGCUUUUAAACCAUACUUAGUACAUGUGAUGUACUAAACCAUAUUUUGAUCCCUUUUCUCCUAAUAAUAUAGGUUCGAGCAAUUGAGGAGUUCGAAGCCAUUUGCAUGGAAGACUUGGAUCAUUUCCCAAGUUUUUGGUAAGUCCUCAAGUUCCGAGGAUGUUGCCAGAUAUAAAGCUUUAGUAGUUUUGUCUAUGUCUAAACAAAUUUAUUCAUUCCUUCUGUUAAAACUUUGUUGUAACUCUAUAUGUGGUAUAUUAUACUAGUUUAAGGGCUAUGCCAAAACUUUGUAAUUUUCUAUUAGAUGGGUAUAUGUGAGACGAUGCAUUGGACUACUUAAAUGAAUUGAAUAUGCUAAAUGAGAAGUCUAUGAAAGUUUAUACGUGAUGAGUCUAUGUUAACUCCAUAUAUGAUAUCUGAGAAGUGUACUUAUACUUUAUAUGUAAUAGUUUAAAUUUUUUUGCAUUUUUCUCUACCAAUGAUAUGCCAUAAGUAUGCUAAGCUCUAGUGUAACGCCUCUACAUUGAUUAAGACGCCGGUAACACCUAGGAUGUUCUUUGGGUCAUUACACUAAGAGCUUUUUUAUUCAACAUACUUUAACUAAAUGAACAUUAUUCAUUGAAACCAUUUAAGAGAUAAAUAACCAAUUAGGGUACAUCACAUAAUGGUCUUAGAAGACCUAGGGAACUCAUCCUAGAAUUUUCAAGGCCUACUCGUGCCAUGUAUAGAUAGCUUCCCAUUCAACUACCUACACGUUAUAGAUUCUAUCCAAUACUAGAGUGCACAUACCACAUGAUGAGAAUAGGCAUUAACCGAUGUAAACCAUACUAGUUAGGUAUGGAAUAUGGUGUCAUAAGGAUUCCACAUCGUGAAAGGUGUUCUACUUUCCAAAGGUGUAACUAGGACACAUCCCAUGUUUGCACAUGGUUAAGGGAUAUCAAGGGAUUCUCUGUACUCUAGUCUCAUACUCAAGUAGAGCUACUACCACAAGAAUAUCCACUCGGUGCUUUUGCUUGGUUCUCAUAGAGUAAGUUCAUUCACAGAAAUGUAUUAGAGAGGGCGCCAUCAUUCGACCUACCGACCCAUAAUACCUUUGCCAAGAACGGACCUCCAAGGGUUUACCCAUCAAGGUUAAUUAGGAUAGGUGUUAUCACUUUCGUCAAGAUGGUCUCACGUCGUUCCAGCAAACUUAUUUAUAAUUCUAUCAUUCCACACAAGAAGGGCACUAUUUAGGUCUACAGAUCAAGACUUCUUUAUUUAUCUCCUUUUCAUAUUCAAGGUUCCAUAUAAUUCAUUUCUAGAAGGGCGCCACUUUAGGUCUACUGAUCCUAGACAUUCAUUCAUACAUUCAUUCAAUACUAUUUAUUAUCAAGUAGGAAAAACUAAGUCUACCUAACAAGAUACCCUAUCAAUAUGUUGAGACUCUUGAUAGUAUAUCAUCAUCACAUACCUUCAUUUAGAGCAAACAUAAUUUAACCUCACACAUGCACAUACACAAUCUAUCAUAUCCGGGAAAUACCCCCUAAAUGUAACCGGCGUCAUCUCUUCAAAGAGGACUAGGACUAGCCUCUUAUCAUUCAUCAUUAUAUUCAUAAAUUAAAAUGCGGAAAAUUUAAAACUAUUCAUAUACAAUUUUUAAUGAGGUGUACUUAGUCCUUACACAGAAUAUAUUUAUAUCGAUUAUACAUAGACCCUUCAUAUAAGAAGAUUACAUAAUAUUUUAAUUUUGUUGAACAUAUUUAUAUCAGAUACAUAACAUAGUCUUAAAAUGGAUGUCUCAUAUUAAACCAUCUAACGGGAGUCAAAUAAACAUUGGCAUAAGCCCUUACAAAAUGUAUAAAUGCCAAAUAGGUCUUACAACAAUUUCUUGGAACAAGUAGAAUGAAAUGAUUGUCUUUAGACUACAACAAAGAAACAUGAUAGAGUAAUAGCAAGGCAUCAUCCUCAGAGUUGAGGAUAAACCCACACUUGGAGAAAGCCAAGCCAUCCUUCGUAAGUGGUCACACACCCUUCAACGACCGAAACCUAAAAUGUUGGGGGAAAAGGAAGAAAUGGGGUUAGCACAUCACUUGUACAGAGUAUGGAAUCAUAUGUACAUACAAUAUAGAAAUCAUGGUAAAAGGGACAUUUAUUCAAAAGCAUUCAAAGUCACUUUGAAAAGACUUAUGCACAAUCGAGAACCAUACAAGUCAAUAAGCACAUAUUCCUUAAGUCAAGACCAUGUACAUUACAAGACCAACACUAGCAAGUCUAGUAAAGUAAACAUGCAUAUCAACAUAAUUGAGAACAUAACCAAAACAACUCUAUCAUCAAGUUAUAAUAUCAACAAGCAUACAUAAUACUUCAUAACGUCAUAAUCUAAGCAAGACCAUCACUUCCCUAUUAAGUCAACUAGUGCAAUGACUAAGUAAAUGCUCAUAGCCUCACUCAAGCAAGUAACCCUAACAAGAGCUACAAGUAAUGCCCAACUUUUCAUACUAUAUAAUUAAGAUUAGGCAUCAUUAUACUUAAACAAUAGAGACUAACCACAUGUACAUAAGUGAAACCCAUAUCACAUAGUGUCAUUAACAUGUAUGAUCAACAUAUACAUAUCAUUUUCAUUUAUAAGCACAUAAGAACAUCUUUCUAAGACUUCACUCAAGUCUAACUAGUUGAAUGUAUAGGUAGAAUCCCAUACCCCUGCCUAGAUUAAGUCAAACCCCUUAGGUCACCCUCGUUAGAUUUCACUUUAUUACUUCAAUUUACUUUUGGGAAUAUCGUGCCUUAACAGACAUAGACCACGUGACCUAAUGUUAAAUCCAGUGUCAUGAAAACCUACACCGAAAGAAGGCAGACUACUUGCCAAGAUAGUAGCAAUACAUAAACAGAGCAUCUAUGUGGAUCCACUAGCUAGUAUUUCUACGGGGGAAACAUAGUUCAAGAACUAGAAGCAAUAGUUUGGACCCUCUUUAUGAUACAUGCAUUAUAGUAUCCAAUUUUGAUGAUCCAAAGUACACCCUAGUCAUUACUUUGGGUGGCAGCCUCGUACAGGACAAAGACAAGCCUCUUAGCCUUUGUCAUAGCAUAUCAUAGGCAAAAAAAUAUGGAAAAAUUAAAACUUUUACUUAUGUAGCAAUGAUGUUUACAUAGGCCUCUACAUACAUAGGAUUCUAGCAUAAACAACAUACAAUAUAUGGGAAUUUAUUCUAACACUUUGUCUCACAAUAAACCGUCUAUAAAGUGAAUCACAAGAACCUGGGCAUAGCCCUUAGUCUAUUACAAUAUGCCAUAUAGUCUAUAAUGAAAGUCUCAACAUGAAAAUGGAAUAAUUGUCUCAAAACAUAUGCAAAACUAAUAAGGCUUGAUGAGUGGCUUAUACUCGAAACUCACGAGGACUCACCAAUUGACAUUGGAAAGAGCCAAGUCUUUUUCUUCAAUGACCAUGAAUCUCCUCAAUGGCCCGAACAUAACAUGUUUAGGAAAAAGGGAGAAAAUAUCGGUUAGUACAAACCACAUGUACUAAGUAUGGCUCCUAUGCAUAAAAUCAUCAUUGCAUGAGAAAACGACCAUUUAGUCAAAAUCAUGGUUUCUAUCAAUUGAACUCGGCAUUCAUAUAUCAAAAGGAUAAUAAUUCAAUUCAACUAUAUAGUAACCCAACACAUAGAUCACCCAAGCAAUACUUGUGCAAUGCCAAAGAUAGAACCCCAUAAUCCCACCCAAGGCUAAAUAUCACUAUAAGCUACCCACUCCAUACUUAUACCAUAUUCUCAUAAUUCAUCAUAACAUGAUUAAUACAUGAAUACUACUAAUAGAUUAUUAACAUAACCAUAAUCAUAGUGAUAAUCAUAAAAGAACACUACUAGAGUCAUCCUAUAGGACCCCACAUGUGAAAUGAGUAAGAGAAGUCCCAUAUCCUCCCUUACACUAUGUAGAAAUCUUCAAGACAACCCCAAUAAGAGUUCACAUACUUAACUUAUUCAUCAACUUUAUGUUAGGGAAAGAAGUGCAAUAAUCGACAUGAGACCAUCUGAGCCACAUGGAAUUCGGUGUUCAACUCCCACACCGAAAGAGAGAGUUAAUACUUGCCUAAGGUGUAAACAUUCAUACAUAGCUAUCUAGGUUGAUCCACUAAGCUAGAUUAUUAUGUGGGCACAUAGUUAAGGGUCAAGGAGAUUGCUUCUAGAAACCUUAAUUUACUAACAUGGAGAUUUUCAUGUCAUGAGACAACACAUAAUUAGGGAAUCCGUACUUACUUACGUGAGAAAACCCAUAUGGGAGGUCGGACUUCCUAAACUUGAGACCUCCAUAUCAUUACAUGCCCUUUCAGUGCUAGCAAUUAUUCCCUUUAGUAAUCCUAUUAUUUCAUCAUACAAGUUCACAUUAGUAAUUUUUUAACUUAACACUUAAUUAUAAUCAUGAGAAACUACUUUCAAUCAUAUAAUUAUACUACCAUAACAUACUUGCAUAAUUCAUAACCAAUUCAAUAGUCUGGGGUUAAGGGUGAGGAUACAUAGCAUCAACAUCGCAACCACCCAUUAGACUUAGAAGCAUUGCUAUCGAAGUAACUCUUAAUUUCAUAAUUGAAUCCAAGAAGAACCAAUCAACGUACCUCGUUACCCUUCCAAGAACGUUCAUACUCCAUUACAAAGAAUACAGAUACAAGGUACAUUUAACAAGCAAUUACAUAAUUAGCAACAGUGUAGUCAAUAUUCAUAUUCAUAAUCUUCAUAAUUAACCAUAUUAAUUCAAGGUUUUCAUGAAAUUGGGGAAAGGACAUGAGUCUAGAGAAAUCUCAUACGAAAUCAUCAAUUAACCUUCAUAUUAUACUCAAACAACAUUAAUUCGUCAUAAUCAACCACAAUUGAUUCAUAAUUUUGAUUUUCAAAGAAGAACCAUGUAGAAAAAAAACCUAGAUUUUGGGGGGAUUUAGAAAUCAUCUUUUGGAGGGACCUCUUGGGGAAAAAGAAUCCCAAGAGUAAAACAAACCAUACCUUAUUGAAGAAUUAGCAGGAAAUUGAGUAGAAAUUUAAGGGAUUUGGUCUUCUUAUUCAAACUCAAAACUUCUUCAAUGGAGGUUGAAUAGAGAGAGAAAGUAGAGAAAAGUGAGAGCAAUUGUGCUUUGCUUUGGGGUUUUGCUUUUAGUGAGUAAAUGUGAGGAAAACUGAAUGAAAAUCAAUCUAUUUUCCCCUUAUGAAAUUCCCAAAAGACCCUCACAUAAUUUGACCCUUUAAUAAAGUCAAACUCGAAUUCUAUUUCCAGAUUUUUCAUCGGGGAACAAGUCCAGGUUGAGGAGCUAUUCACGCAAGAUUUUCGAAAUUAAUUUUCGUGACAGAGGAGUCCAAGACCUGCCCGCGACGCAAGCUUCACUUUUGAUCUUGGGUGAACCAAGUCCACGACACAACUUGUUCCCUCCAAGAACAAAACUUGCUUCCUCUUCGCAGGUUGCUUGGUCCAAUGUAGGGUCCCUUCGUGGACCUUUUCGGUGAUAUUUGAGUAGCCGGACCUGGAAAUUUUCACACUAUAUACUAAUAUUAAUCAUUUUAAGUCAUUCUACAUGUUUUGGACAUCAUAUAACCCUCCAAAACCUUCACCAAACCUAGGGAUAUAAACUAGUUAAAUUUUUGCUAGUUUCCAGACGUUAAGGAUUUUUCUUUAUUGUUAUCACUCCGAAACAUCUCAAACAAGAUAUUACACUUAUUUAUGUCUUAUAUAAUCAUUUUUCAACAUAUAAUGCUAUAUUAUAGGUCAUGGAACUUUAUAGGGUGUUACAAUAUCCUCCCUUUGGAACAUUCGUCCACGAAUGACACCCUAAACCUUCAAUUAGGAAAAACAAAAAAGACUAAAGACUAGCAGCCAACCAACAAUCAAUAUCAUAAUGAUUCACAGAUCAUUGGAGGAAAUCUCAACUCCUUUCAACACUUAAACAUAGCAUCAAAAAUAGGAACUUAAUUCACAACAUACCAUAACACUAGCUUAACUUUUCAUAUCACAUGAGGUUCUAGCUUAUCCAUUUCAAUUAAGAGCGUAAUAUGAACAUUAAGGGUUGACAUACUGGGUUCUUAUCAACACAUGCCCGAAACACUUCUUAUGAACACACAUAGACCACUAGAUAAACACUACAUAUUUACAAGAAUAUGCACAUACUAGAUAAACAUGAUAUGUUCAAUGUUUUGCAUUUAAAUCAUUUAAGAGGAAAGCCACUAACCUUACUUUGGGUAGGAUUAGGGGAAAAGAUAUGAGGAUAGUGGGUCUUCACGUCAGUCUCGGCUCCCACGUUGCACCAUCAACAAAGUGGUUCCUCCAUAGAACUUAUAUGGAGGCAACCUCCUUAUUCCUCAAUUUCUUUAUCUUUGUCACGACCCAACCCGAUAGGCCGUGAUUAGUGCCCGUUUUGGACACCCACAUACAAACCUGCUAAGUAUGACCAACUGAAACUAAGACAAUAUGGAAUUUAAUCAAAUCAAGCCAACCCCAACGUCAUAUAUAUAUAUAAGAGGACCUGUCUCAUAAGGAGUCAUAACCAUUCAACCAUAACAGCAUACGCGAGCCGACAAGGCCGCCACUAUUCAAAGCAUAAUGAUGUACGCAGCCGACAAGGCUGCCCCUGUACAAGCGGACAUCCCAAACAAACCAUGUCCAGACCAUUAUCCAAAACAUAUAUAUACAACCCACAUAAUGUCCACAGACCUCUAAGAGUACAUUAGUGAAACUUGACGGGACAGGGCCCCGCCAUACCCAUAGACGAGCAAAAGACUACACAAAAGUUAUGUACCAAAACGACUGGGCUCCGGAACAGUGGAGCUCUCCCAAUCAGCAGAGUAGAUAUCCUAGGCGGGAGGAUCACUGAACUGCGCGUCUACACCUGCGGGCAUGAAACGCAGCCCCCCGAGGAAAGGGGGGUCAGUACGGACAAUGUACUGAGUAUGUAAAGCAUAAGGUAAAGAUGACAGGAUACCAAUGUGGCAAGUCGAAACAAAAUAUCGCUACACAUAUACUUUUUAAGUGAAAAUCAUGCAUAUAUUUAACAUUUAAGGUGCCCAGCUUCCCUAGUAAGGGGCUCGGCAAAAUAAUCAUCACGUCAUCUCCGUCAUCAUCAUCAUCAUAACCAUCCUCAUCACCAAUCAUAUAUAUAAUAUACAUACCCGGCCCACUAGUGAGGAACUCGGUGACAUAUGCAAGAAACUCCGCACGAACAUUACCCGGCCCG